UACGUAGGGACCAAGCGUUGUUCGGAUUUACUGGGCGUAAAGGGCGCGUAGGCGGCUUAACAAGUCACUUGUGAAAUCUCCGGGCUUAACUCGGAACGGCCAAGUGAAACUGUCAAGCUAGAGUGCAGAAGGGGCAAUCGGAAUUCUUGGUGUAGCGGUGAAAUGCGUAGAUAUCAAGAGGAAGACCAGUGGCGAAGGCGGGUCUCUGGACAGUUCCUGACACUGAGGCACGAAGGCCAGGGGAGCAAACGGG
rnacentral:rRNA from 1 species